rnacentral:rRNA from 1 species
UAAGCGGAGGAAAAGAAACUAACUAGGAUUCCCUUAGUAACGGCGAGUGAACCGGGAUGAGCUCAAAUUUAAAAUCUGGCGUCUUUCAGGCGUCCGAGUUGUAAUCUAUAGAGGCGUUUUCCGCGCCGGACCGCGUCCAAGUCUCUUGGAAUAGAGUAUCAAAGAGGGUGACAAUCCCGUACUUGACGCGACAACCGGUGCUCUGUGAUACGUUCUCAAUGAGUCGAGUUGUUUGGGAAUGCACCUCUAAAUGGGUGGUAAAUUCCAUCUAAGGCUAAAUAUUGGCGAGAGACCGAUAGCGAACAAGUACCGUGAGGGAAAGAUGAAAAGCACUUUGGAAAGAGAGUUAAACAGCACGUGAAAUUGUUAAAAGGGAAACGAUUGAAGUCAGUCGUGUGAAAGGUAUUCAGCCGUCUCUGGCGGUGUAUUUGCCUUUCACGGGUCAACAUCAGUUUGAUCCGGUAGAAAAAGGCGGGAGGAAGGUGGCACCCUCGGGUGUGUUAUAGCCUCCUGUCAUAUGUGCCGGACCAGACUGAGGAACGCAGCUUGCCGCAAGGCCGGGGUUCGCCCACGUACAAGCUUAGGAUGUUGACAUAAUGGCUUUAAACGACCCGUCUUGAAACAC